AGUGAACGCUGGCGGUAGGCCUAACACAUGCAAGUCGAACGGCAGCACAGUAAGAGCUUGCUCUUACGGGUGGCGAGUGGCGGACGGGUGAGGAAUACAUCGGAAUCUACUUUUUCGUGGGGGAUAACGUAGGGAAACUUACGCUAAUACCGCAUACGACCUACGGGUGAAAGCAGGGGAUCUUCGGACCUUGCGCGACUGAAUGAGCCGAUGUCGGAUUAGCUAGUUGGCGGGGUAAAGGCCCACCAAGGCGACGAUCCGUAGCUGGUCUGAGAGGAUGAUCGGCCACACUGGAACUGAGACACGGUCCAGACUCCUACGGGAGGCAGCAGUGGGGAAUAUUGGACAAUGGGCGCAAGCCUGAUCCAGCCAUACCGCGUGGGUGAAGAAGGCCUUCGGGUUGUAAAGCCCUUUUGUUGGGAAAGAAAAGAAGCAGGUUAAUACCCCGCUGUUCUGACGGUACCCAAAGAAUAAGCACCGGCUAACUUCGUG
rnacentral:rRNA from 1 species